rnacentral:tRNA from 1 species
CGGCCAGUAGCGCAGUCUGGUAGCGCAUCGCUCUGGGGGAGCGAGGGUCGGAGGUUCAAGUCCUCUCUGGCCGACCA